rnacentral:rRNA from 1 species
AUUGAACGCUGGCGGCAUGCUUUACACAUGCAAGUCGAACGGUAACAGGUUAAGCUGACGAGUGGCGAACGGGUGAGUAGUGCAUCGGAACGUGCCCGAUCGUGGGGGAUAACGCAGCGAAAGCUGCGCUAAUACCGCAUACGAUCUGAGGAUGAAAGCGGGGGACCGUAAGGCCUCGCGCGAUCGGAGCGGCCGAUGUCAGAUUAGGUAGUUGGUGGGGUAAAGGCCCACCAAGCCGACGAUCUGUAGCUGGUCUGAGAGGACGACCAGCCACACUGGGACUGAGACAGGGCCCAGACUCCUACGGGAGGCAGCAAUGGGGAAUUUUGGACAAUGGGCGAAAGCCUGAUCCAGCAAUGCCGCGUGCAGGAAGAAGGCCUUCGGGUUGUAAACUGCUUUUGUACGGAGCGAAAAGGUCCUUUCUAAUACAAGGGGCUCAUGACGGUACCGUAAGAAUAAGCACCGGCUAACUACGUGCCAGCAGCCGCAGUAA